AACGAACGCUGGCGGCAUGCCUAACACAUGCAAGUCGAACGAGACCUUCGGGUCUAGUGGCGCACGGGUGCGUAACGCGUGGGAACCUGCCCUUAGGUUCGGAAUAACUCCCCGAAAGGGGUGCUAAUACGGGAUAAUGUCUUCGGACCAAAGAUAUAUCGCCUUUGGAUGGGCCCGCGUUGGAUUCGCUAGUUGGUAGCGUAAACGCCUACCAAGGCGGCGAUACAUAGCUGGUCUGAGAGGAUGAUCCGACACACUGGGACUGAGACACGGCCCAGACUCUUGCGGGAGGCAGCAGUGGGGAAUAUGGGACGACGGGCGAAAGCCUGAUCCUGCAAUGCCGCGUGAGUGAUGAAGGCCUUAGGGUUGUAAAGCUCUUUUACACGUGAUGAUAAUGACAGUACCGGGAGAAUAAGCUCCGGCUAACUCCGUG
rnacentral:rRNA from 1 species